rnacentral:rRNA from 1 species
GCCGGAGGAAGGUGAGGAUGAUGUCAAGUCAGCAUGACCUUUAAUUAUCCAGGGCUACACACACGCUACAAUGGUCUGUACAAUGGGUAGCCAAGCCGCGAGGCGGAGCCAAUCCUGAAAGCAGGCCUCAGUUCAGAUUGCAGUCUGCAACUCGACUGCAUGGAAGUCCGGAGUUGCUAGUAACCGCAGGUCAGCAAUACUGCGGUGAAUACGUUCCCGGGUCUU